UACGAAGGGGGCUAGCGUUGCUCGGAAUUACUGGGCGUAAAGGGCGCGUAGGCGGACAGUUAAGUUGGGGGUGAAAGCCCGGGGCUCAACCUCGGAAUUGCCUUCAAUACUGGCUGUCUUGAGUACGGGAGAGGUGUGUGGAACUCCGAGUGUAGAGGUGAAAUUCGUAGAUAUUCGGAAGAACACCAGUGGCGAAGGCGACACACUGGCCCGUUACUGACGCUGAGGCGCGAAAGCGUGGGGAGCAAGCAGG
rnacentral:rRNA from 1 species